UACGUAGGGAGCGAGCGUUGUCCGGAUUCAUUGGGCGUAAAGAGCUCGUAGGCGGCUUGGCAAGUCGGGUGUGAAAACUCCAGGCUCAACCUGGAGACGCCACCCGAUACUGCCAUGGCUAGAGUCCGGUAGGGGACCACGGAAUUCCUGGUGUAGCGGUGAAAUGCGCAGAUAUCAGGAGGAACACCAAUGGCGAAGGCAGAUCUCUGGGCCGUAACUGACGCUGAGGAGCGAAAGCAUGGGGAGCGAACAGG
rnacentral:rRNA from 1 species